GGACGAACGCUGGCGGCGUGCCUAAUACAUGCAAGUCGAGCGGACAGAAGGGAGCUUGCUCCCGGAUGUUAGCGGCGGACGGGUGAGUAACACGUGGGUAACCUGCCUGUAAGACUGGGAUAACUCCGGGAAACCGGAGCUAAUACCGGAUAGUUCCUUGAACCGCAUGGUUCAAGGAUGAAAGACGGUUUCGGCUGUCACUUACAGAUGGACCCGCGGCGCAUUAGCUAGUUGGUGAGGUAACGGCUCACCAAGGCGACGAUGCGUAGCCGACCUGAGAGGGUGAUCGGCCACACUGGGACUGAGACACGGCCCAGACUCCUACGGGAGGCAGCAGUAGGGAAUCUUCCGCAAUGGACGAAAGUCUGACGGAGCAACGCCGCGUGAGUGAUGAAGGUUUUCGGAUCGUAAAGCUCUGUUGUUAGGGAAGAACAAGUGCAAGAGUAACUGCUUGCACCUUGACGGUACCUAACCAGAAAGCCACGGCUAACUACGUGCCAGCAGCCGCGGUAAUACGUAGGUGGCAAGCGUUGUCCGGAAUUAUUGGGCGUAAAGGGCUCGCAGGCGGUUUCUUAAGUCUGAUGUGAAAGCCCCCGGCUCAACCGGGGAGGGUCAUUGGAAACUGGGAAACUUGAGUGCAGAAGAGGAGAGUGGAAUUCCACGUGUAGCGGUGAAAUGCGUAGAGAUGUGGAGGAACACCAGUGGCGAAGGCGACUCUCUGGUCUGUAACUGACGCUGAGGAGCGAAAGCGUGGGGAGCGAACAGGAUUAGAUACCCUGGUAGUCCACGCCGUAAACGAUGAGUGCUAAGUGUUAGGGGGUUUCCGCCCCUUAGUGCUGCAGCUAACGCAUUAAGCACUCCGCCUGGGGAGUACGGUCGCAAGACUGAAACUCAAAGGAAUUGACGGGGGCCCGCACAAGCGGUGGAGCAUGUGGUUUAAUUCGAAGCAACGCGAAGAACCUUACCAGGUCUUGACAUCCUCUGACAACCCUAGAGAUAGGGCUUUCCCUUCGGGGACAGAGUGACAGGUGGUGCAUGGUUGUCGUCAGCUCGUGUCGUGAGAUGUUGGGUUAAGUCCCGCAACGAGCGCAACCCUUGAUCUUAGUUGCCAGCAUUYAGUUGGGCACUCUAAGGUGACUGCCGGUGACAAACCGGAGGAAGGUGGGGAUGACGUCAAAUCAUCAUGCCCCUUAUGACCUGGGCUACACACGUGCUACAAUGGACAGAACAAAGGGCUGCGAGACCGCAAGGUUUAGCCAAUCCCACAAAUCUGUUCUCAGUUCGGAUCGCAGUCUGCAACUCGACUGCGUGAAGCUGGAAUCGCUAGUAAUCGCGGAUCAGCAUGCCGCGGUUGAAUACGUUUCCCGGGCCUUGUACACACCGCCCGUCACACCACGAGAGUUUGCAACACCCGAAGUCGGUGAGGUAACCUUUAUGG
rnacentral:rRNA from 1 species